UGCUUCGGUCUCGUCUCCCAAUGGGAGGGUGAACGCUCUCUCUCUUCCCGGGCCAGUCGGUCGUCCAGGCGGGGUGAGCCGAUGGUCCUCCAGGCGGGUUGAGCCGAGCGCCGAUGGUCCUCCAGGCGGGGGUUUAGGAGCCGUUGCUGUGGACGGAGAGACACGGACGUGAGCGGC